GACGAACGCUGGCGGUGUGCUUAACACAUGCAAGUGGUGCGACGAACCAGAGCUUGCUCUGGGGCAAAGCCGCGAACGGGUGAGUAACACGUGGGUAAUCUACCCCGAUGACCGGGACAACCCGAGGAAACUCGGGCUAAUACCGGAUGUGGUACGGAGACAUAAGUCUCUUUACUAAAGGUAGCUUCGGCUUCCGCAUUGGGAGGGGCCCGCGGCCCAUUAGCUAGUUGGUGGGGUCAAGGCCUACCAAGGCAACGAUGGGUAGCUGGUCUGAGAGGACGAUCAGCCACACUGGGACUGAGACACGGCCCAGACUCCUACGGA
rnacentral:rRNA from 1 species